rnacentral:rRNA from 1 species
UCCGGAUUUAUUGGGCGUAAAGGGAGCGCAGGCGGUUUAGUAAGUCUGAAGUUAAAGNCAUUGGCUCAACCAAUGUAUGCUUUGGAAACUGUUAGACUUGAGUGCAGAAGGGGAGAGUGGAAUUCCAUGUGUAGCGGUGAAAUGCGUAGAUAUAUGGAGGAACACCGGUGGCGAAAGCGGCUCUCUGGUCUGUCACUGACGCUGAGGCUCGAAAGCGUGGGUAGCGAACAGGAUUAGAUACCCUGGUAGUCCACGCCGUAAACGCUGAGUGCUAGGUGUUAGGUCCUUUCCGGGACUUAGUGCCGACGCUAACGCAUUAAGCACUCCGCCUGGGGAGUACGACCGCAAGGUUGAAACUCAAAGGAAUUGACGGGGGCCCGCACAAGCGGUGGAGCAUGUGGUUUAAUUCGAAGCAACGCGAAGAACCUUACCAGGUCUUGACAUCCCGAUGCCCGCUCUAGAGAUAGAGUUUUUCUUCGGAACAUCGGAGACAGGUGGUGCAUGGUUGUCGUCAGCUCGUGUCGUGAGAUGUUGGGUUAAGUCCCGCAACGAGCGCAACCCUUAUUGUUAGUUGCCAUCAUUAAGUUGGGCACUCUAGCGAGACUGCCGGUAAUAAACCGGAGGAAGGUGGGGAUGACGUCAAAUCAUCAUGCCCCUUAUGACCUGGGCUACACACGUGCUACAAUGGUUGGUACAACGAGUCGCAAGCCGGUGACGGCAAGCUAAUCUCUGAAAGCCAAUCUCAGUUCGGAUUGUAGGCUGCAACUCGCCUACAUGAAGUCGGAAUCGCUAGUAAUCGCGGAUCAGCACGCCGCGGUGAAUACGUCCCCGGGCCUUGUACACACCGCCCGU